rnacentral:rRNA from 1 species
GUCUAAAGCCAUACUACCAUGUAUACAUCUGAUCUCAGAAGUUAAGCAGGGUUGGGCCUGUCUAGUGCUUGGAUGGAAGACUACCUGGGAAUAUCAGAUGCUAUGGACU